ACACAACUGCGCAUGCUAAAUAAACGCUCCGCGUUAAAUAUUAUAUUUAUGACAUGCAUUUUUCUUAUGUCAGCUUGUUUUACCAUUUGGCUGAGCUUUAUGUAUUACUGUAGUUCCACACAUCUGUCUGCAGGGGGCGGUCAUAGCUCACAACUCACCUUUCCUUUCUCACUUGCUUCAGUGUGUAGGCUAUAGGGAGAGAGGCCACGGCGUGGCUUAACUGUAGAUUGGCUCCAGCAACCCUCUUCUGGGUGUGUGUUACCUGACAGCGAGAGAUGAAUGGUUGACAACACCAGCUGGAUGUUGAAGACAAAGUACAAUCAUGGUAAGCUUGGUCAGGAGUUUGUGUUUACUUUGUGUGUGUGUAGUUGCCAUCAUCCAUGGUGUAGGUGGGGGAUGAUGCUGUGCAGAAGCCUGUGCAAGAUGAUGGGAGUAGGCCAGUGUGGAGGUGGAUAUGAUCAAUGACACAGACAGGACAAGAUGGCUAUUAUUAAGAAUUAUGGUGUCCGGCGCAGGAGAUUUUCCAGAACCUAAUUUGCUAUCAGUGAGGAUUCACUACAGAACAUAGAAAGCAUAUGGUGCUUGGAGUUUCUCAGAGAUGGUGCUUUUGAUGAGCAAGGAGAAUCAGAGUUACGAUGUAUACUAACCACCACUUUUUAUUGAAUGUUAAUUUAUUGUGACUGAUUUGAUGGACAAGACCGAUGAGUAAGAACCACAUUCUGAGACUGGUUUAGCCAAUACCCCCAUCGUUUUUAUUUUUUUAUUUUUUUUUUGCUAUAUCUCACUGUCAAACACACACAAGUUCCCAAGUGUACUUGUUGCUUAAAGGAGAUCAGAGAAGAUAAGGCUAUUGUGUAAAACAGAUUGUUUAUAAUAGAAAACAUCAGAGAUCAAUUUUAAUGUACUCAAAAUUA